UCAAAUGAAUUGACGGGGCCCGCACAAGCGGAGGAACAUGUGGUUUAAUUCGAUGAUACGCGAGGAACCUUACCUGGGCUUAAAUGUAGAGCGACAGAUCGGGAAACUGGUCCUUCUUCGGACGAUCUACAAGGUGCUGCAUGGUUGUCGUCAGCUCGUGCCGUGAGGUGUCGGGUUAAGUCCCAUAACGAGCGCAACCCUUAUCGUUAGUUGCCAGCGGGUAAUGCCGGGGACUCUAACGAAACUGCCGGUGUAAACCGUGAGGAAGUGGGGAUGACGUCAAAUCAGCACGGCCCUUAUGUCCAGGGCGACACACGUGUUACAAUGGCCGGUACAGAGGGCAGCUACCUGGUGACAGGAUGCAAAUCUCCAAAACCGGUCUCAGUUCGGAUCGAAGUCUGCAACUCGACUUCGUGAAGCUGGAUUCGCUAGUAAUCGCGCAUCAGCCAUGGCGCGGUGAAUACGUUCCCGGGCCUU
rnacentral:rRNA from 1 species